UCGGGCCUGAUACUGCCUCUAGUGGCGUGGGGUGGUAACACAACUAAUAUAAUUACAUUACUAAAUCAGAAUAGCACAAAGGCUUUAUUAUUUACUAUUAAUUUCGCCAUUACUGGACCCGUAAAUACGGAAGAGGAUUAGGGCCACCGAAAAAACCCCCAACAAAUUCUGACUUUAAUCUUUUUUUUCUUUCGGUGGCCCUAAUCCUCUUCCGUACAUAAAAGAUAAAUGAUCUUCUAACACACCAAAUUUUUCCAUUUUCUUCAGGAUGUAGAGCUAAUAGUCUCUACAUCAGCUGGUUGAUGUCUUUUCUGUUUCUCAGUUCAGAGCUGCAGUAUUUUUAGCGUUUGCUCCCAGUAUUUUUAGAAGAUUGUGCCAAAUGUUCCUUCAUGCACAAAAGCAGAGCCACUAACAUUCCUUCAGUUGGUUAAAAACUGUAAGCACAACCUUGUAGAUGACCCCGUGACCUUUUGGUGUUUGAUGUGAGCCCAGUGAAUGACCAGGGACCAGAGACCUUAGGACUCUGUCAUGCUGUCUCUGUGUUUUGUCUCUCUGUGGUCGUCUCUCGUUGUGCCUUUUGUCUCCCAGUGGUGUUUCAUACCACUUUGUCUCCUCUGUUAGCUUCUGAUGAGCGAAGGCCUGCAGGUCGUUACAGGAAGCUGGUUGUUACAGGAAGCUCGUUGUUACAGGAAGCUUGUUGUAACAGGAAGCUGGUUGUUACAGGAAGCUCGUUGUUACAGGAAGCUUGUUGUAACAGGAAGCUUGUUGUAACAGGAAGCUUGUUGUAACAGGAAGCUGGUUGUAACAGGAAGCUGGUUGUUACAGGAAGCUGGUUGUUACAGGAAGCUGGUUGUAACAGGAAGCUGGUUGUUACAGGAAGUGUGUCGUUACAGGAAGCUGGUUGUAACAGGAAGCUUGUUGUAACAGGAAGCUGGUUGUUACAGGAAGCUCGUUGUUACAGGAAGCUGGUUGUUACAGGAAGUGUGUUGUUACAGGAAGCGUGUUGUUACAGGAAGCUUGUUGUAACAGGAAGCUGGUUGUAACAGGAAGCUUGUUGUAACAGGAAGCUGGUUGUAACAGGAAGCUGGUUGUUACAGGAAGCUGGUUGUUACAGGAAGCUGGUUGUAACAGGAAGCUGGUUGUUACGGGAAGCUCGUUGUUACGGGAAGCUUGUUGUUACAGGAAGCUGGUUGUUACAGGAAGCUGGUUGUAACAGGAAGCUGGUUGUUACAGGAAGUGUGUCGUUACAGGAAGCUUGUAACAGGAAGCUGGUUGUAACAGGAAGCUUGUUGUAACAGGAAGCUGGUUGUUACAGGAAGCUGGUUGUAACAGGAAGCUGGUUGUUACAGGAAGCUGGUUGUAACAGGAAGCUGGUUGUUACAGGAAGUGUGUCGUUACAGGAAGCUUGUUGUAACAGGAAGCUGGUUGUAACAGGAAGCUUGUUGUAACAGGAAGCUGGUUGUUACAGGAAGCUCGUUGUUACAGGAAGCUGCUUGUAACAGGAAGCUGGUUGUAACAGGAAGCUUGUUGUAACAGGAAGCUGGUUGUUACAGGAAGCUGGUUGUAACAGGAAGCUUGUUGUUACAGGAAGCUGGUUGUUACAGGAAGCUCGUUGUUACAGGAAGCUGGUUGUUACAGGAAGUGUGUUGUUACAGGAAGCGUGUUGUUACAGGAAGCUUGUUGUAACAGGAAGCUGGUUGUUACAGGAAGCUGGUUGUAACAGGAAGCUGGUUUUUACAGGAAGUGUGUCGUUACAGGAAGCUUCCUGUAACAGGAAGCUUGUUGUAACAGGAAGCUUGUUGUAACAGGAAGCUGGUUGUUACAGGAAGCUGGUUGUUACAGGAAGCUUGUUGUUACAGGAAGCUUGUUGUAACAGGAAGCUUGUUGUAACAGGAAGCUGGUUGUAACAGGAAGCUGGUUGUAACAGGAAGCUGGUUGUAACAGGAAGCUGGUUGUAACAGGAAGCUUGUUGUAACAGGAAGCUGGUUGUAACAGGAAGCUGGUUGUUACAGGAAGCUGGUUGUUACAGGAAGCUGGUUGUUACAGGAAGCUGGUUGUAACAGGAAGCUGGUUGUAACAGGAAGCUGGUUGUUACAGGAAGCUUGUUGUAACAGGAAGCUGGUUGUAACAGGAAGCUUGUUGUAACAGGAAGCUGGUUGUAACAGGAAGCUGGUUGUUACAGGAAGCUGGUUGUUACAGGAAGCUGGUUGUAACAGGAAGCUGGUUGUUACAGGAAGCUGGUUGUAACAGGAAGCUGGUUGUUACAGGAAGCUGGUUGUUACAGGAAGCUGGUUGUUACAGGAAGCGUGUUGUUACAGGAAGCUUGUUGUAACAGGAAGCUGGUUGUUACAGGAAGCUGGUUGUUACAGGAAGCUGGUUGUUACAGGAAGCUGGUUGUUACAGGAAGCUGCUUGUUACAGGAAGCUGGUUGUAACAGGAAGCUUGUUGUAACAGGAAGCUGGUUGUAACAGGAAGCUUGUUGUUACAGGAAGCUGGUUGUUACAGGAAGCUGGUUGUUACAGGAAGCUUGUUGUAACAGGAAGCUGGUUGUAACAGGAAGUGUGUUACUUCGUGGCGGGGAAAAUAUUUCGUAGUUUGUCACAGAAACAUCUUUGGGUUUGAGGCAAUAAAACUCUUGGAUUUGUUUUUGAUUUUCUUGAAUUGUUGAAAUGUAUUGAUUGUAAGUUGAAUGGUGACUUUUGGUGCCAAUGCAAUAGUAGUGAUCAAUAAGUAACAAUGUUCAGACAAUCGUCUGGGCCUGGAUCAAAUGAACUGAAAGUUUCCUAAAUGAACUGUACCUGAGUCUGAUCCUGGAGAAAAAGACUUUUAUUUCUUCUGAUAAUGAUGUAACGUUGAUUUGUGGACCUGGAAGUGUUUCUCUGUCUGUUUUCAGGGUUUCUGUUGACCUUUCACCUCCUCUGUAGCGCCUUGUUGUUACAGAUUUGUUGUCGGCUCAAAGUGCUUUUCCAUCAGAGUAAAUAAAGUUGCUCGUUCUCACC